GAGUAAGAUGGUGGAUUUAUUCCCGCCUGUCACGCGGGUGACCCGGGUUCGAUCCCCGGCAACGGCG
rnacentral:tRNA from 1 species